GAUGAACGCUGGCGGCGUGCCUAAUACAUGCAAGUCGAGCGAACAGACGAGGAGCUUGCUCCUCUGACGUUAGCGGCGGACGGGUGAGUAACACGUGGAUAACCUACCUAUAAGACUGGGAUAACUUCGGGAAACCGGAGCUAAUACCGGAUAACAUGUUGAACCGCAUGGUUCAACAGUGAAAGACGGUCUUGCUGUCACUUAUAGAUGGAUCCGCGCCGCAUUAGCUAGUUGGUAAGGUAACGGCUUACCAAGGCGACGAUGCGUAGCCGACCUGAGAGGGUGAUCGGCCACACUGGAACUGAGACACGGUCCAGACUCCUACGGGAGGCAGCAGUGGGGAAUCUUCGGCAAUGGGCGAAAGCCUGACGCAGCAACGCCGCGUGAGUGAUGAAGGUCUUCGGAUCGUAAAACUCUGUUAUUAGGAAAGAACAAAUGUGUAAGUAACCAUGCACGUCUUGACGGUACCUAAUCAGAAAGCCACGGCUAACUACGUG
rnacentral:rRNA from 1 species